rnacentral:rRNA from 1 species
CUGACGGAAUAGGCAUUUGAAGGAAUUAGCGUGGAUACUAAGGCAAAUCCGAGUAUUUAGACGUGAGAACUGAUAGGGAAGAGAUAUAGCGAUAUAUUUUAAGUUACAGAUCCUACACUGCCGAGAAAAACUUCUAUUUAGAGAGUUAGUGCCCGUACUGAAAACCGACACAGGUGGACAGAGUGAGAAACUUAAGGCCGACAGGAUAACUCUAGCUAAGGAACUCUGCAAAAUAGCCCCGUAACUUCGGGAGAAGGGGUACCUAAUAUACUUAAUUGGAGAGAUACCAAGAGGGGAAAUAGGUCGCAGUGAAGAGUCCCAAGCAACUGUUUACCAAAAACACAGGUCUAUGCUAAGCUGGAAGGCGACGUAUAUGGGCUGACACCUGCCCAGUGCCGGAAGGUUAAGAGGAGGAUUGAGAGAUUCGAAUUGAAGCCCCGGUGAACGGCGGCCGUAACUAUAACGGUCCUAAGGUAGCGAAAUUCCUUGUCGGGUAAGUUCCGACCUGCACGAAUGGUGAAAUGAUUUGGGAGCUGUCUUGGCUGGAGGCCUGGUGAAGUUGUAAUGUCGGUGAAGAUACCGAUUACCUGCAGUAGGACGGAAAGACCCCGUGGAGCUUUACUGUAGCUUGGCAUUGGGUUUUGGCAAUAUGUGUAUAGGAUAGUUGGGAGACUGUGAAGUGAUGGCGUUAGUUGUCAUGGAGUCGCUGUUGGAAUACCAACCAUAUAUUGUUGAAAUUCUAAUCUUUGAUUUGAAGUUAAGGAGACAGUGCUAGGUGGGCAGUUUGACUGGGGCGGUCGCCUCCAAAAGAGUAACGGAGGCGUUCAAAGGUUCCCUCAGGUUGGAUGGAAAUCAACCAAAGAGUGCAAACGCAAAAGAGAGCUUGACUGCGAGACUGACGGGUCGAGCAGGUACGAAGGUAGGAGUUAGUGAUCCGGCGGUACCGAAUGGAAGGGCCGUCGCUCAACGGAUAAAAGCUACCCCGGGGAUAACAGGCUGAUACUUCCCAAGAGUCCAUAUCGACGGAAGUGUUUGGCACCUCGAUGUCGGCUCGUCUCAUCCUGGGGCUGGAGAAGGUCCCAAGGGUUGGGCUGUUCGCCCAUUAAAGAGGCACGCGAGCUGGGUUCAGAACGUCGUGAGACAGUUCGGUCCCUAUCCACUGCAGGCGUAAGAAUAUUGAAGAGAUCUGUCCUUAGUACGAGAGGACCGGGAUGGACAAACCUCUGAUGUACCAGUUGUCACGCCAGUGGCAUGGCUGGGUAGUCACGUUUGGAAGGGAUAAUCGCUGAAAGCAUCUAAGCGUGAAGCCCACUUUGAGAUGAGUGUUCUUUUAAGUAUCCAUCGAGAACAGGUGGUGAUAGGCUAGAGGUGUAAGUGUAGUAAUACAUUUAGCUGACUAGUACUAAUAUUACGUACGC